UACGGAGGGGGCUAGCGUUGCUCGGAAUCACUGGGCGUAAAGGGUGCGUAGGCGGGUCUUUAAGUCAGGGGUGAAAUCCUGGAGCUCAACUCCAGAACUGCCUUUGAUACUGACGAUCUCGAGUCCGGGAGAGGUGAGUGGAACUGCGAGUGUAGAGGUGAAAUUCGUAGAUAUUCGCAAGAACACCAGUGGCGAAGGCGGCUCACUGGCCCGGUACUGACGCUGAGGCACGAAAGCGUGGGGAGCAAACAGG
rnacentral:rRNA from 1 species